AACGGAUUAUUCUUUAUAGCUUGCUAUAGAGAAUAGUUAGUGGCAGACGGGUGAGUAAUGCAUAGGAAUCUACCUAGUAGUAUGGGAUAGCCACUAGAAAUGGUGGGUAAUACUGUAUAAUCCCUGCGGGGGAAAGAUUUAUCGCUAUUAGAUGAGCCUAUGUUAGAUUAGCUAGUUGGUAGGGUAAAGGCCUACCAAGGCGAUGAUCUAUAGCUGGUCUGAGAGGAUGAUCAGCCACACUGGAACUGAGAUACGGUCCAGACUCCUACGGGAGGCAGCAGUGGGGAAUAUUGGACAAUGGGCGCAAGCCUGAUCCAGCUAUGCCGCGUGAGUGAGGAAGGCCUUAGGGUUGUAAAACUCUUUCAGUAGGGAAGAUAAUGACGGUACCUACAGAAGAAGUCCCGGCAAACUCCGUGCCAGCAGCCGCGGUAAUACGGAGGGGGCAAGCGUUGUUCGGAAUUAUUGGGCGUAAAGGGCAUGUAGGCGGUUCGGUAAGUUAAAGGUGAAAUGCCAGGGCUUAACCCUGGAGCUGCUUUUAAUACUGCC
rnacentral:rRNA from 1 species